rnacentral:rRNA from 1 species
AGAACACAGGUGCUGCAUGGCUGUCGUCAGCUCGUGUCGUGAGGUGUUGGGUUAAGUCCCGCAACGAGCGCAACCCUUGUCACUAGUUGCCAUCAUUUAGUUGGGCACUCUAGUGAGACUGCCGGUGACAAACCGGAGGAAGGUGGGGAUGACGUCAAGUCCUCAUGGCCCUUAUGGGUAGGGCUUCACACGUCAUACAAUGGUCGGUACAGAGGGUUGCCAAGCCGCGAGGUGGAGCCAAUCCCUUAAAGCCGAUCGUAGUCCGGAUCGUAGUCUGCAACUCGACUACGUGAAGUCGGAAUCGCUAGUAAUCGCAGAUCAGCAUGCUGCGGUGAAUACGUUCCCGGGUCUU